rnacentral:lncRNA from 1 species
GUUUCUGGUUGGAGAUCCUUUCUUUGUGGAGUUUCCCUUGCGAGCCUACGUCUUCAGAGAUGGCACAGCCAUAACUCUGAUAUGGACUUCAGCAGAGAUAGAAGUAUAAAUGGAUCAUGAAUAAUUUCAAAGAGCAAGAUCUGAGACUCUGUCCAAUUUCCUCGAAUUAAUAACUGACUGUAGGAUAUGACCAAGCAAUUUGGAACCUGACAGCAGAGUGUUCUCUCUACAAUGAUUAGAAGGAUUUCCUUCAAGGUGGAUGAAGCACCAGUAUAAGUGGAGCAGCAUGCAGUUACAGAAGAACAUGACUGCUGAUGUCCCCAUGUAUUUUCAACACCAAUAAGCCAAUGUCUCCCUUUUUAUCAGGCUUCUGAUCUGUAAAAAUACUGAGGACUGUGCAAUUCUAUUGAAGUGCAUUCACUUUUAUCAGCUCGUUCCAUUCAUCUCCUUGCAAGAAGACAGGUGUUGUGGUUUAACCUGGCAUCACAUAGUUGUUCACUCAUUCUCCCCCUUCCUAGUGGGCUGAAUGAGAGAAUGGGGGAAAGAGAAGUAGAACUUGUGGAUUGAGAUAAAAGCUAUUUACUAAGAUACAGAAAAGGAUCAUAGUUAUGACUGUGUGUAUGUGUGUGUAGUUGUCACUAUCCUGGAUUUAACCAAAAGGGCAGUGCAAUAAUCUUUAUUGUACAGCAUUUUUAAAUAAAACACAGCUACAUUUUUCCCCAGUCUCUGUUCAUUUCUGCAGUUGAAAAGUAUGAAAUGCCAUAAAAACUGCCUGCAGAGAUUGUGGAAAGUAUAAACAAUCUUCUUUCGUAAGAGCAAGCUGGAUUUACAAAACCUGCAGCACCCACUGUUUAUUGAGUGGUGUGACAAGCCAGAUCAAUCCUGUUACUCUUGUUGUAAGAGAGGGUUUUUUUAAUCCUUGUAUAGAACAUUCUCCUAUUUCUGCAAACCAAAGUUCUUGCUGACUCUCAAACCAAAUUGUUUAUGCCUUUUGAGUCACUGCAUAAUAAAUCCCUUCUGUUGUUCAUACAU